rnacentral:lncRNA from 1 species
AAUAGUUACUAGGAAUCCAUUGCUAACUGAAUUUUAAAAUGAAUUAAAAAUUUUAUUUUAUAUAAUUUUAGGUUAUUCAUAAAUACUUAUAUAUUGGUUGUCUUUAUUGUUAAUUGAAACUAAUGGACAAUUAUUUUUUCAGAUGCCUCGAAGAGCAGUAUCAUCUAGAGGUAGAGGACAUAGCUAGCAGCUCUCUAUGAAUGAAACAGAUGAGCCAGUACAGAUGCAAGAGGAAACACUGGAGCACUUCGGACUUUCUUAGUUAUCCAUUAAGAUGCGCUACACUGCUCCAUGGAAAACUUUGUCAGAAAUACCUUUAAAGACAAAAGACGAGCUCUUCGGACUUUUUCGGGUAAAUACAACUUAUAUUCUAAAAUUUCUAAUAUGCAUUUUAAGUUUUUUAAAUUUACAUAACACUAAUUGUUGUUUGUAGAGUCGAUAUGUAUGGGAUGAGAGUGAAGAAGAUAUGAUUCGAACUGCUUGGGAAAAGGUAGGAAAAGAAAGACUGCGAGACAUUCUUAAUAGAGUUAGGAGUGAUUAUGUUUUCUUUUUUUAUUUAGGGAGCUUAUUUGAUUGCCAUUGCUGAAAAUGUGAAUGACAAUUGUGAUAGUCAGUCUGCUUUUGAUUUGAAUAAGUGGAUGGAAAUUUCUGGAAGUAGUAAAGGGAGGGUUUAUGGUUUUGGAUCUUCUGAUAUUGCAAAAUCUGGAACUCCAACUCAAAAUGAAACAAGACAUGGAGCAAAUGCAAGAGCAAAUGCAAGAGCAAAUGCGAGUGCAGAUAGAAAAGCAAAUAAAAGAUCAGAUGAAAUCAUUGAAGAACAAAAAAAGAUAUUCACCGCAUAAUCCAACUGCAGAUUGUACUUCUCUAUCAGAUGGUUUAACAAAUUCAUAGAUUAGUUUUUAGUUUUACGAACAUUGUUAAGUAUAAUUGAUUUAUUUUAAAUUUUAUGACGAUUGUUAAGUAUUAUGAAUUUAUUUUAAAUUUUAUGAAUAUUGUUAAAUAUUAUGAAUUUAUUUUAAAUAUUCUGAA